rnacentral:rRNA from 1 species
CACGGAGUUAGCCGAUGCUUUUUCUUCGGGUACUCUCACUCGUGGCCUCACGAGGCCUUUUUGCUCCCCGACAAAAGAGGUUUACAAUCCAUAGGACCGUCUUCCCUCACGCGACUUGGCUGGUUCAGGCUCUCGCCCAUUGACCAAUAUUCCUCACUGCUGCCUCCCGUAGGAGUCUGGUCCGUGUCUCAGUACCAGUGUGGGGGACCUUCCUCUCAGAACCCCUACGCAUCGUCGCCUCGGUGGGCCGUUACCCCGCCGACUAGCUAAUGCGCCGCAUGCCCAUCCGUAGCCGGAAUCACUUCCUUUAAUCCCUCAGGGAUGCCCCCGAAAGAUAUUACGCGGUAUUAGACGGAAUUUCUUCCGCUUAUCCCCCUGCUACGGGCAGGUCGCAUACGUGUUACUCACCCGUGCGCCGGUCGCCGUCUGGCAAGUGCAAGCACUCGCCUCCGCUGCCCCUGACUUGCAUGUGUUAAGCCUGUCGCUAGCGUUCAUCCUGAGCCAGGAUC